rnacentral:rRNA from 1 species
AGAGUUUGAUCAUGGCUCAGGAUGAACGCUGGCGGUAUGCCUAACACAUGCAAGUCGAACGAUGUCUUCGGACAUAGUGGCGGACGGGUGAGUAACGCGUGAGAAUCUGCCUCUAGGAUGGGGAUAACGGUUGGAAACGACCGCUAACACCCAAUAUGCCGUAAGGUGAAAAAUUUAUUGCCUGGAGAGGAGCUCGCGUCUGAUUAGCUAGUUGGUGGGGUAAGAGCUCACCAAGGCUUCGAUCAGUAGCUGGUCUGAGAGGAUGAGCAGCCAUAUUGGGACUGAGACACGGCCCAGACUCCUACGGGAGGCAGCAGUGGGGAAUUUUCCGCAAUGGGCGAAAGCCUGACGGAGCAAUACCGCGUGAGGGAGGAAUGCCUUUGGGUUGUAAACCUCUUUUCUCAGGGAAGAAGAUCUGACGGUACCUGAGGAAUAAGUAUCGGCUAACUCCGUGCCAGCAGCCGCGGUAAUACGGAGGAUGCAAGCGUUAUCCGGAAUCAUUGGGCGUAAAGCGUCCGCAGGUGGUUUCCAAAGUCUGCUGUUAAAGACUGGAGCUCAACUCCGGAACGGCGGUGGAAACUUGGAAACUAGAGUUCGGUAGGGGUAGCAGGAAUUCCCAGUGUAGCGGUGAAAUGCGUAGAUAUUGGGAAGAACAUCGGUGGCGAAGGCGUGCUACUGGACCGUAACUGACACUCAGGGACGAAAGCUAGGGGAGCGAAAGGGAUUAGAUACCCCUGUAGUCCUAGCUGUAAACGAUGGAAACUAGGUGUGGCUUGUAUCGACCCGAGCCGUGCCGUAGCUAACGCGUUAAGUUUCCCGCCUGGGGAGUACGCACGCAAGUGUGAAACUC